AGAGUUUGAUCCUGGCUCAGGAUGAACGUUGGCGGUGUGCCUAAUACAUGUAAGUCGAACGGAGAUAAUAGCAAUAUUGUCUUAGUGGCGAACGGGUGAGUAACGCGUUGGUGAUCUGCCCCGAAGUGGGGAAUAACAAUUCGAAAGAAUUGCUAAUACCCCAUGUGAUCUUAGAGAUUUGAUGCUCUUUGAUUAAAGGAUUUAUUCGCUUCGGGAGGAGCCUGCGUCCCAUCAGCUAGUUGGUAAGGUAAUGGCUUACCAAGGCGAUGACGGGUAGGGGACCUGAGAGGGUGGCCCCCCACAAUGGAACUGAAACACGGUCCAUACACCUACGGGUGGCAGCAGUAGGGAAUAUUAGUAAUGGGCGAAAGCCUGAACUAGCAACACCGCGUGUGCGAUGAAGGCCUUCGGGUUGUAAAGCACUUUUAGAGAGGACGAGGAAGGACGGUACUCUCUGAAUAAGUCUCGGCUAACUACGUGCCAGCAGCCGCGGUAAAACGUAGGAGGCGAACGUUAUCCGGAUUUACUGGGCGUAAAGCGCGUGUAGGUGGUUUGGUAAGUAGGGCGUGAAAGCUCCUGGCUCAACUGGGAGAGGUCGUUCUAAACUGCCGGACUAGAGGAUGGUAGAGGGAAGUGGAAUUCCGGGUGUAGCGGUGGAAUGCGCAGAUAUCCGGAGGAACACCAGUGGCGAAAGCGGCUUCCUGGACCAACCCUGACACUCAGACGCGAAAGCUAGGGUAGCAAACGGGAUUAGAGACCCCGGUAGUCCUAGCCGUAAACGAUGUAGACUUGACGUCGGUGGUUUAAUAUCCAUCGGUGUCGUAGCCAACGCGAUAAGUCUACCGCCUGGGGACUACGGCCGCAAGGUUAAAACUCAAAUGAAUUGACGG
rnacentral:rRNA from 1 species